rnacentral:rRNA from 1 species
GUUCGUAGGUGGUGCGGCAAGUUGGGAGUGAAAUCUCUGGGCUUAACCCAGAGGCUGCUUUCAAAACUGCCGUGCUCGAGUGCGAGAGAGGUCAGUGGAAUUGCAGGUGUAGCGGUGAAAUGCGUAGAUAUCUGCAGGAACACCCGUGGCGAAGGCGGCUGACUGGAUCGCAACUGACACUGAGGAACGAAAGCUAGGGGAGCAAACAGGAUUAGAUACCCUGGUAGUCCUAGCCCUAAACCAUCAGGACUUGGGGUGGCCCGCGUAGGCGGGUCGUCCCGUAGCUAACGCGUUAAGUCCUGCGCCUGGGGAGUACGGUCGCAAGACUGAAACUCAAAGGAAUUGACGGGGGCCCGCACAAGCGGUGGAACAUGUGGUUCAAUUCGACGCAACGCGAAGAACCUUACCUGGGCUUGAACCGCUACUGACCAACGGUAGAAAUAUCGUCUUCUCUGCAAGGGACAGUAGUAGAGGUGCUGCAUGGCUGUCGUCAGCUCGUGCCGUGAGGUGUUGGGUUAAGUCCUCGCAACGAGCGCAACCCUUAUUCGUAGUU